UGGGGAAUAUUGGACAAUGGGCGCAAGCCUGAUCCAGCAAUGCCGCGUGUGUGAAGAAGGCCUUCGGGUUGUAAAGCACUUUUAUCAGGAGCGAAAUACUACGGGUUAAUAACCCGUGGGGCUGACGGUACCUGAGGAAUAAGCACCGGCUAACUUCGUGCCAGCAGCCGCGGUAAUACGAAGGGUGCAAGCGUUAAUCGGAAUUACUGGGCGUAAAGGGUGCGUAGGCGGUUCGUUAAGUCUGUUGUGAAAUCCCCGGGCUCAACCUGGGAAUGGCAAUGGAUACUGGCAAGCUAGAGUGUGUCAGAGGAUGGUGGAAUUCCCGGUGUAGCGGUGAAAUGCGUAGAGAUCGGGAGGAACAUCAGUGGCGAAGGCGGCCAUCUGGGACAACACUGACGCUGAGGCACGAAAGCGUGGGGAGCAAACA
rnacentral:rRNA from 1 species